rnacentral:misc_RNA from 1 species
UCCAUAAACAAAUAUUAUUAAACGAUAGCACAUAACAACAAAAAAAAUCUUCUUGUGCGAUAGUAAAUGUUUAGAAUUUUAUAAUCCUCGUAAAGUUGAUAAAUAUUUCACACUCUAAUUAGGCACACGCAGGCAGUAAAAAAAUUGAUUAAUCCAGCUAUCAGUGUUUGGGGAGGUACUUGUUGGGUAUAUAUUUCUAUUUUGUGCGCAGUUUGAAAGGAAGAUUGUUUUACACUUUACUAAUAUUGUGGGAAUCUAGAUUCAAUAAAAUGCCCACAUAAACAUGGAAUCCAUCUCCGUAUCUGCAAAUAUCAACCCUACCAUCAUAGAACCACCAGUUAUAUCUUCGAACGACUCCAAAAUAUUUAAUGAUAGUGGUGGAGAAAAUGAAGGAGACACCACCAUCCAUGCUUUCAAUAUUUCUGCAUCACAGUUUCACAUCACUGUUGUGGAAAACCCUGCGUUAAAGAAAUCUUCACAAUGUGAAGGUAGUGAUAGCGGGGUAGAGGUUGUAGAAAAUGUCGAAAACCAGGAUCCAGUCGUGUACCAACGUAAUAUAAGCUCUAAUAGUGGCAUGUCCCAGGAUUACGAUAAUAUAAAUAGUGCCCGAUCGUGCGAUUCUUCGAUUAUAAGUUGCUAUGAUGAAGCUUACAAUAUCCUGGUCCGGAAAAAUUCAACGUUACUGGAAGAUUACCGAAGACACGAAGACGUCACCAGCGAAAACGGUAGCGAAAGUUCUUCCUUAAGUGGAUCCAACGUACGAACCAAUAGAAGAACCUCCGUAAACAAUUCAAAAAAGAAAACACCAACAGUUGACUCGAGAACUAAAACUUCUUGUAGGAAAGAACGGUCUAGUACGAAGCCUCCGUUAACCCCUAGACCGUCUACAGGGCCCAUACGAAUCAAAUCUGUCGAUAGGUUACAGGCCAAACCUUCUCCAAGUACAAAAACUAAUCAAAGGACCAAAACUACUCCUACGAACUUAGAUCUUAAGCGGGAACCCAAAAGGACGUCAUCUGCUGCAGUGCGCACGUCUUCGACAAGUAGAACACCUACAUCUACCCAUAAUGACGACGGUAGAUGGCCAUCCAUCAAUAGUAAACCAGCACCACUAAUGUCCAGAUCCUUGAAAGGUUCGAUAGAUUGCACCAAGCAAAAAAUUUCUCCGUUAGAUACCAAGACUAUAGAAAAGUAUGCUACACUUCCAAGGCCGAAGAAAGACAAGAAUGUCGAUGACAACAAGGACGUGAAGAAGUCGAGUAGGGAGAACACCCUUCAUCGCUUAGCUCUAAGUAAACAAACUUCUCGUGAAAGCACACCAUCAAAACUGAUGACGAGCUCUUUGUACAUACCCAAAAGUAAAACAAAAACUAAAAUAUACCACGAAAACGGUGUUCAGACAGCCUUAACGAUUUCCGACAUAGAAAAUGCUUUGGCUGGAGUUGCAAUAAAUGCCAAAAAUCCACAAGAUUCCGAAACUUGCGAAAAAGAUCUCCAGGUUGACACUAUUAGCGCAGAUAUGAAUAAGUUAAAGGAAAGAUUGGAAGCGAUCACUGAAAAAUACGAGGCGUUACAAAAAGACUACAAAUCACAGACUGAGAAACUUAAAGAGACUGAGGAAAAGUUAAGGGAGGAGGUUAUUGAAAAGGACGGUUUGCGGGAGGAGUUACAGAACAAUUCACAAAGAGUUAUGGCCAUUUUGGGAACAGAUACCGCUGAUGAUUCAGAAUCAAAUCACAACGACAGCCUUCUCGUCCUAGAAACCAAAUUCCAAAACGUUGGCGAAGUCGUCAUCCGACAAGAAGAAGAAAUAUCCAAACUAAACGCACUAUGCCGAACGCUACAGAUGGAUCUGGAAAAGAACGUUGCCAUACAAAGGACGCUAGUUCAACAACAAAGAGAUCUAGAGUUGGAAAGCUUGGAACUGCAGGAUUUCAUGCAGGCAGAGAAAACAACACUUCACGACGCGUUGAAGGAAUCGGAGGCUGAAGUUAAGAGACAACAUGUUUUGAUACAGAGUAAGGAUAAGGAGCUGGUGGCGAAACAGGAGGAAAUUACAAAAUUAAAGAAACAGAGUGACCAGAAAAGACAGGAAAACAUGAGUCUUCAAGCGCGAUUGGGAGUACUGGAAACCAAAAGCCGCGAACUUUUGGUACAUCAGGGAAGUUCGGUGUCAGGAGCAGCUGUAGCUUUGUCGGCUCUCAUUGGAAGAUUGGACGGUCUUGUGGAAGAACUGGUGGCUGCUUAUAGUAUUUCUGACCAGGAAUUAGAGGAUGUUAUCUUUCAUAAUGAGGCUUACAAGAACAGCAGCAGUAGUCCUGAGUCUACACCGGAAAAAGCGAGAAAGAUUUUCAUCGACAAAACUCCUUCUCCAUCAAAAGGCUCUUCUUUCGUAUCAGCUGUCAUUAAUGCCAUUAAAAGUGCUGCUCAGUCACCGUUUGCAAUGCGAGAUGUGAGCAAGGAUACUUUAUCUACGGAUCAUUCCAGUUCUAACGAAAUGUUGGACUCAGAAACCGAGCCCUGCCUAAUGAUGGAGCACGUCCUCGAAGACGUAGUUAUUCCUGACGGCCAUUCUCACAAUCUGAUCUCCUCUGGUCACGGUAGCAUGAUGAGUUCCCGACUGACGCACAGCGAAAGCUUGAAAGAUGUUUCCCAGACCAUUCUGAGUCGACAAAUGUCUGAACCGACAAGUAUGAGUUUUUAUGGAAGUCUCAACACUUCGUACACUAGCGAUCUGGUUUCGUUGAACGAAUUUUUUCCUUCCAUAUCGCUUGUGGAUCAAGUUAUUGACGUUGAUAAUCUUAUUACGAGACUGUUGAAAGUGAUUAGAAUAAUACAAAUGGAGAAUGAAGACUGCAUGAAUGAACUGCAAGAACAGAGGGAUAAUCUGUUGGAGCAAGUUGAUAAACAAAAAGAGACGAACAAAGUGGUUGUGAAGCAACUCAAAGAUUGGGAAGUUCUUGGAGCCAGACUGAAGAGUGAAGUAAAGGAACUGAUGGCACAAAUGUCAAAGAAGAAUACCGAAAUGGAUAACUUAAAAGGAGAGUUGAACAAACAAAGGGAAGAAGUCGAGAAAUUAAACCAAGAUGUUUGUGAGUUAUCAACAGCUCUUUCCAAAGCCGAAAUGGCAAACAAAAUAAAAGAGGAUGAAGUCAGUCAAGAAAUUAAGAAAUGGGAAAAGACUGGAGAGCCUCCUUCUCCUGAUAUUUUAGGAAGACUUGUUUCUACACAAAAUGAGAUACCAAUACUUAAGGAACAGUUGAGCGAGAAAGAGAAACAUCUGAAUGAAUUAACGCAGGAAUUUCUGGCCAGUAGGCAAGUUCUGACAGAGAGUUUAAAAGAAGCUGUAAACGAAUCUAAGAAACAAUACGAUGCAAUCGAUCACGCCUUAGAGGUCUUACACAGUAUUCAAACCGUAGUUCAACAAUGCGCACCCCUAUCCAAACUGCAACGAGAUUUAGAAGAAAUCAAUUUUCAAAGUGCAUCUGCAAUGCCAUUAGUCACACCAGCAGAUUGCAACGCCAAUGCUGCCCGUUUACAAGCGGUAGCCAAUUUGGAAAUAGCUCCCACUAUUAACACAACUGCCUAAAACGAUUAUCUGUCCUCCUUCCUCCCUCCAAGAACGAAUACGCCAUAUUAGUGACGUCACGUUGUCGAUUUUAAGGUUAGGUCUAUCUUAAUUUUAAAUGCACCGAUUUUUUAUCCCACAACAAGUAAUUUGAGUCAAUUAGAUAUAUUGAUAAACAGCUUGAAAGCUUCCAAACAUCUAAAUUAUGUUUUCUAAACAUUAGUUUCGUUUGAAACCUUAAUGUUAUAAUUUUAUUAUUAAUCCAUUGAUCAUUAUUAUUAAUCCAUUGAUUUUAUUAUUAAUCCAAGGUCAAAAGGGACCCGCCGGGAAGAAGAUGGGCUGAUAUGAGAUGGAAAAAUAGGAAACAAUAUGAUAGAUAGAGACCUCAGAGAAGGUGACUGGGAGAAUAGAGUGAUGUAGAGGACGAAAACGACGAAUUUAUAUUGGAAAAAAAGCCGACGAAGAAGAUGAAUUAUCCCAAAUAAUGAAAAAGAAUAAAGAAAAAGUAAGAAAAAUUUAACAAAAUGUGUAAUAGUAAUUUACUGAUUAUACCAGUGACCUCAGUUUGCAAAAUGUCUGUUGACGCCUUUGGAAUCUUGGCGCUCUUUAACCGACCAUUUCUUUUCAUUGGUCAAACGAAGGACUUCAAGUGAGCCUUGUUUUCAAUUCAACUAACAAUCACAUUUGUACAAAAUAGGGCUUUUCAUUCACAGUCAUUUGUUUCGAGCUUCUGUCAUAUGUCGUAUAAUCCGUGUAUAUUAAUAUUAUACACAGAUUAUACAACAUAUGACAGAAGCUUGAAACAAAUGACAAUCGAUGAAAAGCCCUAUAGAAGAUAAUAACAUAGCAUUCUCGUGCCAGGUGAAUUCUGACAUUUGUUCAACAAGCCAUACUGACACUUGCUUAGCAUGACCUGAAAUAGUUCUGGGGAUAGAAAAUACAAGUAGUAAAACAAGGUAAAGUAAUAAUUCAACACGCAAAGAAGAAAAGGAUAAUAUGUAGUGUAUAGGAACUGUCAAAAAUGAUAGCGUGACGUCAUCAGUAAUGUGGCGUAUCUGUGUAUGAAAUAUGUCGUUACGCGGGAAAAGCAUAAUUUUGGUUGUCUUUGAAAAUAAAGACUUCUGUGAACAUGUAAUAUAUAAAAAAUGAAUAGAGUAGAAUAAAAAAUGUUUUGUAGAAAGAGUUUAUGGGAUAAUUACCUAUCCUUGUGUUAUAUAAAUUGUAUCUAACCAGUGUUUCAAAGAAUUUAAUUGAAAAUUACUUAACAUUUUUCAACUAAAAUUCGUGACAGCCAGUAGGAUCUUUAUCAAUAUGUUUUUAAGUAUACUGAAGAUCAUAUUCACUGAGAUUUGUAUGUACUCCAAACUACCAAUGGUAUUCAAAAUGUUAUUAGUAGAGUUUUUUAAGGUAAUGUGUUUUGAGAGAAGAUAGCAAUGUCAGAAGAAUCACAAGCGUGUCCUGGACAGAACACAGAAUCAACUUGUCAAUUCUGAAAGAGUUUCAUAUAAAAGACGGGCUAUAAAAGUAAAUCUUACAGACGGGCUAUAAAAAUACCUAAAUUGCUUCGACCACAUAGCCAGAAGAACUGGAACUAUAGAAGUAUUGGUAGAAAAAGAAAAGGUAGAAGACCGAAGACCAAGAAGAAGAUCUCCAACACGAUGGGAAGACCAAAUGAAGACUCUAGUGGAAAAAUUCAUACAUGAAGCCGUCCCCCAAUCAGGAUCGCAGCCAAUGGAGAU